ACCUGACUGGCUCAGUCGGUGGAGCAUGCGACUCUUGAUCUCAGGGUUGUGAGUUCAAGUCCCACACUGGGUG
rfam:Ailuropoda melanoleuca scaffold1474_34, whole genome shotgun sequence.